rnacentral:rRNA from 1 species
UCAUGCCUACGGGGGGCAGCAGUGGGGAAUAUUGGGCAAUGGGCGCAAGCCUGACCCAGCAACGCCGCGUGAAGGAAGAAGGCUUUCGGGUUGUAAACUUCUUUUCUCAGGGACGAAGCAAGUGACGGUAGCUAAGGAGCAAGCCACGGCUAACUACGUGCCAGCAGCCGCGGUAAUACGUAGGUGGCAAGCGUUGUCCGGAAUUACUGGGUGUAAAGGGAGCGCAGGCGGGAAGCCAAGUCAGCUGUGAAAACUACGGGCUUAACUUGUAGACUGCAGUUGAAACUGGUUUUCUUGAGUGAAGG